AUUGAACGCUGGCGGCAGGCCUAACACAUGCAAGUCGAGCGAACCUAGCUUGCUAGGUGAGCGGCGAACGGGUGAGUAACGCGUAGGAAUCUGCCUGGUAGUGGGGGACAACGUUCCGAAAGGAACGCUAAUACCGCAUACGCCCUACGGGGGAAAGUGGGGGAUCUUCGGACCUCACGCUACCAGAGGAGCCUGCGUCG
rnacentral:rRNA from 1 species